rnacentral:rRNA from 1 species
GAUGAACGCUGGCGGCGUGCCUAAUACAUGCAAGUCGAACGCAUAGCGAAAGGUGCUUGCACCUUUCAAGUGAGUGGCGAACGGGUGAGUAACACGUGGACAACCUGCCUCAAGGCUGGGGAUAACAUUUGGAAACAGAUGCUAAUACCGAAUAAAACGUAGUGUCGCAUGACACAAAGUUAAAAGGCGCUUCGGCGUCACCUAGAGAUGGAUCCGCGGUGCAUUAGUUAGUUGGUGGGGUAAAGGCCUACCAAGACAAUGAUGCAUAGCCGAGUUGAGAGACUGAUCGGCCACAUUGGGACUGAGACACGGCCCAAACUCCUACGGGAGGCGGCAGUAGGGAAUCUUCGACAAUGGGCGAAAGCCUGAUGGAGCAACGCCGCGUGUGUGAUGAAGGCGUUCGGGUCGUAAAGCACUGUUGUAUGGGAAGAACAGCUAGAAUAGGAAAUGAUUUUAGUUUGACGGUACCAUACCAGAAAGGGACGGCUAAAUACGUG